GACGAACGCUGGCGGCGUGCCUAAUACAUGCAAGUAGAACGCACAGUUUAUACCGUAGCUUGCUACACCAUAGACUGUGAGUUGCGAACGGGUGAGUAACGCGUAGGUAACCUGCCUGGUAGCGGGGGAUAACUAUUGGAAACGAUAGCUAAUACCGCAUAAUAUUAAUUAUUGCAUGAUAAUUGAUUGAAAGAUGCAACUGCAUCACUACCAGAUGGACCUGCGUUGUAUUAGCUAGUAGGUGAGGUAACGGCUCACCUAGGCGACGAUACAUCGCCGACCUGGGAGGGUGAUCGGCCACACUGGGACUGGGACACGGCCCAGACUCCUACGGGAGGCAGCAGUAGGGAAUCUUCGGCAAUGGACGAAAGUCUGACCGAGCAACGCCGCGUGAGUGAAGAAGGUUUUCGGAUCGUAAAGCUCUGUUGUAAGAGGAGAACGGGUGUGAGAGUGGAAAGUUCACACUGUGACGGUAUCUUACCAGAAAGGGACGGCUAACUACGUG
rnacentral:rRNA from 1 species